rnacentral:rRNA from 1 species
GGCAGGCUUAACACAUGCAAGUCGAGGGGCAGCGGGGAGUAGCAAUACUCCGCCGGCGACCGGCGCACGGGUGCGUAACGCGUAUGCAACCUACCUUUAACAGGGGCAUAACACUGAGAAAUUGGUACUAAUUCCCCAUAACAUUCGAGAAGGCAUCUUCUUGGGUUAAAAACUCCGGUGGUUAAAGAUGGGCAUGCGUUGUAUUAGCUAGUUGGUGAGGUAACGGCUCACCAAGGCAACGAUACAUAGGGGGACUGGGAGGUUAACCCCCCACAUUGGUACUGAGACACGGACCAAACUCCUACGGGAGGCAGCAGUGAGGAAUAUUGGUCAAUGGACGCAAGUCUGAACCAGCCAUGCCGCGUGCAGGAAGACGGCUCUAUGAGUUGUAAACUGCUUUUGUACUAGGGUAAACGCUUCUACGUGUAGGAGCCUGAAAGUAUAGUACGAAUAAGGAUCGGCUAACUCCGUGCCAGCAGCCGCGGUAAUACGGAGGAUCCAAGCGUUAUCCGGAUUUAUUGGGUUUAAAGGGUGCGUAGGCGGUUUGAUAAGUUAGAGGUGAAAUACCGGGGCUCAACUCCGGAACUGCCUCUAAUACUGUUGAACUAGAGAGUAGUUGCGGUAGGCGGAAUGUAUGGUGUAGCGGUGAAAUGCUUAGAGAUCAUACAGAACACCGAUUGCGAAGGCAGCUUACCA